CCUACGGGAGGCAGCAGUGAGGAAUAUUGGUCAAUGGGAGAGAUCCUGAACCAGCCAAGCCGCGUGAGGGAUGACGGCCCUAUGGGUUGUAAACCUCUUUUGUCGGGGAACAAAAGCCGGUACGUGUCCCAUGAUGCGUGUAUCCGAAGAAAAAGCAUCGGCUAACUCCGUGCCAGCAGCCGCGGUAAUACGGAGGAUGCGAGCGUUAUCCGGAUUUAUUGGGUUUAAGGGGUGCGUAGGCGGUCAGUUAAGUUAGCGGUAAAACUGAGGGGCUAAACCCAGACUAGCCGUUGAAACUGGCAGACUAGAGUUGGCGAGAGGUAUGCGGAAUGCGUGGUGUAGCGGUGAAAUGCAUAGAUAUCACGCAGAACCCCGAUUGCGAAGGCAGCAUACCGGAGCACAACUGACGCUGAGGCACGAAAGCGUGGGUAGCGAACAGGAUUAGAUACCCGAGUAGUC
rnacentral:rRNA from 1 species